AGUGAACGCUGGCGGCAUGCCUAAUACAUGCAAGUCGAAGGAAGUGGCGCACGGGUGAGUAAUAUAUAGCUAAUCUGCCCCUUGCGGGAGGACAACAGUUAGAAAUGACUGCUAAUACCCCAUAGCAAGGGAUGAGACUAUAUCGUAUCAGCUAGUCGGGGUGGGAACGGCCGACCGAGGCGAUGACGCGUAACUGGUCUGAGAGGAUGCUCAGUCACAUUGGAAGUGAGACACGGUCCAGACUCCUACGGCAGGGGGCAGUAGGGAAUAUCGGGCAAUGGGGGAAACUCUGACGCAGCAUCGCGGCGUGAAGGAUGACACUUUUGGGAGAGUAAGCUCCUUUUGUUAGGCACGCGGUACCUAACGAAUAAGCACCGGCUAACUCCGUGCCAGCCGCCGCGAUAAUAC
rnacentral:rRNA from 1 species